GCUUGCUACUCUGCCGGCGAGCGGCGGACGGGUGAGUAAAGUCUGGGRAUCUGGCUUAUGGAGGGGGAUAACCAUUGGAAACGGUGGCUAAUACCGCAUGAUGUCGCAAGACCAAAGUGGGGGACCUUARGGCCUCACGCCAUGAGAUGAACCCAGAUGAGAUUAGCUAGUAGGUGCGGUAAUGGCGUACCUAGGCGACGAUCUCUAGCUGGUCUGAGAGGAUGACCAGCCACACUGGAACUGAGAGACGGUCCAGACUCCUACGGGAGGCAGCAGUGGGGAAUAUUGCACAAUGGGCGGAAGCCUGAUGCAGCCAUGCCGCGUGUGUGAAGAAGGCCUUAGGGUUGUAAAGCACUUUCAGCGGGGAGGAAGGCGGUAAGAGUAAUAUGCUUAUCRAUUGACGUUACCCGCAAAAGAAGCACCGGCUAACUCCGUGCCAGCAGCCGCGGUAAUACGGAGGGUGCGAGCGUUAAUCGGAAUAACUGGGCGUAAAGRGCAUGUAGGCGGUAAGUUAAGUCAGAUGUGAAAUCCCCGAGCUUAACUUGGGAACGGCAUUUGAGACUGGCUGGCUAGAGUUUUGUAGAGGGGGGUAGAAUUCCAGGUGUAGCGGUGAAAUGCGUAGAGAUCUGGAGGAAUACCGGUGGCGAAGGCGGCCCCCUGGACAAGGACUGACGCUGAGGUGCGAAAGCGUGGGUAGCAAACAGGAUUAGAUACCCUGGUAGUCCACGCUGUAAACGAUGUCGAUUUGGAGGUUGUGACCUAGUGUUAUGG
rnacentral:rRNA from 1 species